AUUGAACGCUAGCGAGAUGCUUUACACAUGCAAGUCGAGCGAGCGGCGGACGGGUGAGUAAUGUAUGGGGACUGCCCGAUAGAGGGGGAUAACUACUGGAAACGGUCGCUAAUACCGCAUACUAUCGGAUAGACACUAUGGGAUUAGCUCGUAGGUGAGGUAAUGGCUCACCUAGGCGACGAUCCCUAGCUGGUCUGAGAGGAUGAUCAGCCACACUGGGACUGAGACACGGCCCAGACUCCGACGGAGGCAGCAGUGGGGAAUAUUGCACAAUGGGCGCAAGCCUGAUGCAGCCAUGCCGCGUGUAUGAAGAAGGCCCUAGGGUUGUAAAGUACGUUCAGUCGGGAGGCGUUACCGACAGAAGAAGCACCGGCUAACUCCGUGCCAGCAGCCGCGGUAAUAC
rnacentral:rRNA from 1 species